AUGGUGAAAUCUUCCACAUCCCUGAUGAACAGCGGCAACCUCGAUUUACGACUCGCAGGUUUGCAAUCGUCCCAUGACCGCAUAUACAUUGCAGUGCCCCUGCCCGUGCGCCACUGCCGUAACCUGCACCCUGCAAAAAAAAUGCAAGUUCAGAUUCAAAUAAACAAGAAGUUAAAAAGGAUUCCAGGGAUUGUUUUGAGGCGGUCGAUGGCUUUUGAGAGAUGUGUUCAUACUUAUAAGUUUGAAGGUGUUCAAAGCUCAUUUAUACAAGGAGGAACGGAAAUUUGGUUGCACAUCUGUUUGCGAAAAAGAGCACUAAAACUAGAUGUACUUUCUAUUUCUUUAUUUGUAACCCCCUACCUACCUGAUAGAGACUAUUCAAUUAGAGUUAGUUUUGCCUCAAUAAUGCAGUGGCAAGACAUUAGUUUUUAA
rnacentral:rRNA from 1 species